rnacentral:lncRNA from 1 species
GUAGGAAGCGUGGCGCCUCAGCCACAAUCGUAAUCACCUUUAAUCUCUUGCUCAAAAUAACCCAAAGUCAAGCUGACCCUCGGUCUAUCUUGAGGCCCUCGGCUGCCCCCGACUUGAAGAUUCUCCCCCGUUGCGUCUAAGUGGCUGCUCCAAGUUCCCGUCCCCGCUGGCAUCUCCCUGCCUCACCAUCCGCCACAUUCCUACACCAAAAGUUGACGCCGCAUUCUGGACUCCUCUCUUUCCUCCCCCCACACCUGGUCCAACUCCAGCAGCAUCUAAUCCACCUGCAGAAGCAUCUGGAAUCACUCCACUCCCACCACGACCGCCCAAACCCACCUCCAGCGGGGACGACGCCCAAGGUACCACCUGGUCUCCUGGCACCCACAAUCCAUUCUCCCUCCACAGCCAGAGGGAGCCUCGCUAACCACCAAGGCGGUCCUGCGGCCCCGCGCAGCCCUGAGGGCGUCCAGUCCUCCACGCGUGGAGGAGAAUCCGGCCUCCAGACACAAUCUCCAGGGCCCACUGGAUGGGCCUCCGCUCCUUCUCACUCCCAGUCCUCUGGUGCAUGCCCCCUUCCUGGCUGAAGAACCUGCACCAGCCGCCCCUCCGCCUGGGAAGCUCCCUCCUGUCAUUCACUCCGAGACGCAGCAGCGUUGCCCCAAGAGCCCUCCCUGCUCUGCACCCCGAAUUCACUCUCAGCCCCCACCUAGUUUAAAUCCUGGCCCUUCUCUCUCCCUGAUGUUCUGCUUGGUUAUUUACUUUUAAUUCAUGUUGGAGCUCCUCCUGCCACUGCAAGAGCAGGAGCUGUGUGUCCUGGUCACUGCUGUGGCAUCCCAGGGCCGGCGCGGUGCCCAGCAGCCAGGACUGGACAGACUCGGGCCACGCUGCGCACGGGCUGGGAUGCGCUGGCUCUGCUUCCUCUUCCGUUGAAUGGGAGUAAAGACCACUCCUCCCAGGGAGCUUGUGGUUUCUCACAAACAUUAACUUCCUUUUGUACUUUUUUAAAGAGGUGGGUCUCGCUCUGUUGCCCGGGCUGGAGUGCAGUGGUACAAUCAUAGCUCACUGCAGCCUUGGCCUCCUGGGCUCAAGCCAUCCUCCUGCCUCAGCUUCCCAAAGCACUGGGAUUACAGGUGUAUGUCACGACACCCGGCCAUCCACUUCAUGUUUGAUCAAGCCCAUAUGCUUCCCUGUUACCCCCUCAGGAAAGAUAUGACAUGCCCGCAGGGGGUUAGGGGGUCCUAACCCUAACCCACAGGGGGUCCUGCAUCUCAGCUUUGGGCCAUACCCCGCCAGGUCUCAUCGGUCUGUGCACAUCCGUACCAGCUUCAGUGUCUGACGCCCCUCACCCAGAUGGAGAGAGGCCUCCACGUGCCCGGCCCUGGGCAGCCACAAGAGCACCACAGGCCACGCCAUGGGACAUGGGACCACGCGCCCUCCGUGGUCUGGGUGGGAAGCCCCUCGAGUGAAGGGACUGGCCAGGGUCGCCUGGGCUAGCGGGGGAAAUGGGCUCCCAGAACCGCUGCGUUCACUCACAGCCGCUGGCGAGGUCUGCUUGUCGCACGGGGACCUCGGCUGUCCUGGGGGCAUCUGCCUGUCCCAGGACUGAGCCUACCAGGCUUCCACCUUGGGACAGCUCUGCCUCCCACAGGCAGGGCCUGGAGGGAGCUGGAAGGGGUGGCCGGCAUACCCUAUUCACAGAGAGUGCUGAUCAGGGGGACAGACACAGAAGCCGGGAGAACAGAGAACGGGGUCAGACUUUAGGCCAGGUGACCCUGGAAAUGUGCUCGGCUCUGGGCCUGUCUGGAGGGUGGAGAAGGGGCAGGAACCACCAGUGGCCUCUGGAAACAGGAGCACUCCUGGGACCCAGCUCUGUCCAACAAGCUGUGGCAGGUAGUGAGCCCCCCAUCAGCAGGGGUGUUCAAGCAGGAGCUGGCGCAGAGGACAGGGCUGCGGGGAGGUGGUGUGAGCGGGAAUGCCCCCGAUGGAAUGAGCUGGCCACUUCAGGGAACGUUGAAGGUGGAGGGAACACUCAAAAGGACGGAGUCUGAAGCACAUUUGACCUUCCCGAAGAAGCUCUCUCUCCUGGAUGGGUGGAGGGCGAGUGGCUUCGCAUCUGAGAGUGGGACCCACCCGCCUCGGACAGCAGAAAAGACCCCGACUCCAGCUGGAAUCUGCUGGGAUUCAGAGCCAGGGGCCAGCCAGUCUACCGCCUGCUGUGCCCCCGAGACCCGGAGCAGGAGGGUCCGUGUUCAUCUCCUGGCCUUGCUCUGUCCACUGAAGGAGGCCGGGCUGGGGAGUAGAACGGAGGGGACUGCUGCCUGCACCACGUCCCCACUGUGUGAGGACUCGGUGAGUGCUGGGGAAGGUCAAGGGGCUAUGGGAACGGUGCCGAGUGCCUGACGACCUUACCAUGUGACCUUGGGCCAUCCACACGACUCAUGGAAGCUGCAGGGCUCCCCCUGCCCUGCCCCCAAGAGCAGGAACACCCUACAAGUGUGCAACAGAGAAAAGCUCCUGUUUCCUCGACGGUCCGCCGGUGUGCAGCACCUCCCGCAUGCAAAGCCCCUCCCCAGGGUUCAGGGAGGCAAAGGUUAGUGUUACCUCAAUUGGACAGAUGGGGAAACAGAGGCUCAGCAUGGGAAAGUCUAGCCAGGAAGUUGAGACUCCCCCACGGCAAGGCCCAGGAAGGCGGCAACAGCACUCCACUGCUACUUAAAAAUGCAGAUUCCCGGAGCGGGCGCAGUGGCUCACACCUGUCAUCCCAGCACUUUGGGAGGCGGAGGCAGGAGGACGGCUUAAGCCCAGGAGUUCGAACCCAGCCUGGGCAAUGUGAGACCCCAUCUUUACAAAAAAUAAAAAAAUUUGCCGGGUGUGGUGGCGUGCGCCUGUGAUCCCAGCUAUUUGGGAGGCUGAGGCAGGAGGAUCCCACCGGCUCAGGAGGUUGAGGCUGCAGUGAGCCAUGACUGUGCCACUGUGUUCCAGCCUGGGUGACAGAGAUCCUGUCUCAAAAAAAAAAAAGAAAAAAAAAGUGAAAAUGCAGAUUCCUGCCUCACCCCAGAAUAUGCAGAGGCAGGCCCCGGAGUGGGAGCCCAGGGCUGGGUGAGACAGACCCUCCCCAAGGCCCUGGCCCUGGAAGGUCGGGAAGGGGGUGCCUGGUCCCCUCUGCCUCCUCCCGACCAGAGCGGGGAGGGCUCAGGGCUGGGGCUGGGGCCCUGAGUGCUGCCUCCUGGGAUACACCAGGCUUAUUCUGCCAUCCUACCUCUGGGCUCGCAGCCCCGGGCUGCUCUGGAGUUAAUUAGAGACUCAAACAUUUAAUGGUCUGUUAUGCUUCCACGGGGCAUCUUUUAAAUUAAAAAACAUGAUGUGUGGCGCCGUUGGAGGGAGAAAUCACUUUGCAAUGGUUCCCUGCUCCGGCGCUGGCAGGGAUGUGGGGUGCGGGUAGCUGGCUGGCCCCGGGAGAGGAGGAAUGACCCUCUCCAGGAACACUGGUCCCCCUCCCACCACCGUCAGAAAGCGCAUCACUUAUGCCAGGCAAGGGUCUAGGUGUCCAAGGAUGCCUGGCACUUUCCUCAUCACGCCCUCAUAACCCUGGCAGCUGGAAGUUCUAUCUUUAGUCUGACCUGAAUCUCUCCAGUUGCUUUCAGGGAUGGCUGGUUUGAGACUGAAGGCAGACAGGUGCUGGUUCUUCUCUUCCUAGUAGUACCCUGACCUCCAGGAGCCCCUGAGCUCUGGGAAAGCCUUUCUGAUGAUCUCAAGCUUGCAGAUUCUGUCCCUGUUCUGACCGGGGGUCACAGCCUAGUGGUAGAACAGGACCUCCUGCUAAGAUGCUGGAAGGACCCUUUGGGGGAGCUGAGGCCUGGCUCCCCUCUCCCCAGGCGCAGGUGCACAGGCGUGUGGGCUGUCUGCAAGCACAGAUCCUGCCUCACAGCACCAUUACCACAAUGACUGAAUCUGUGUUUCCUGGCUGCUGUUAAUUGUGCUAGAGAUUUGGGGCAUGGUUUUGGGGUGAAGGUUAGAAAUGAGCAAUUAGCCCUCAAAUGUUAAACUAAUAAGGGAAAUAAAUGAUCAAGCAAAGUCUAGCCUAGGAGGUUUCAGCAACGGAAGAUGGGCUGGGACGGGGCUGGGAUGCGGCCGCCCCAGGCAGGGAGUGGCCCAGCCCGGUUUGCUCAGUGACCAGGAUGUUUCCACAGUCGGAAGGGGUGCUAUCUCCUGUCUGUUACUAGAAAGUUCUAUCAUAACCCCAGGGAUGCUGACAUAACACCACGAGACAAUUACUGUCCUACCGCCCAGGGCUCCUCCUGCCUCAAGAGGACAGGGAAGGGAUUUGCUGUCCCCACGCCCAUCAGCACCCGAGAGGCCUGUCACUCCCUCUGGAGGCUUCCCCGGCCACCAGCCCUCGCUCACACGGUCACACCAUUUCCACUCCCCAAGGCCACCUGUCGGGCACUGCGUGUCCCGGGGACUGGUGUCCCGGCUGCCAAGGAACCUCAGCUGGAUCUGGCUGAGCUGUGAAAAUAAAAAUGUGGGCUGGGUGCGGUGGCUCACACCUAUAAUCUCAGCAUUUUGGGAAGCCGAGGUGGGUGGAUCACUUGUGGCCAGGAAUUCUAGAACAGCCUGGCCAACAUGGUGAAACCCCAUCUCUACUAAAAAUACAAAAAUUAGCCGGGCGUGGUGGCAGGUGCCUGUAAUCCCAGCUACUCGGAAGGCUGAGGCAGGAGAAUCGCUUGAACCCAGGAGGCAGAGCUUGCAGUGAACUGACAUUGUGCCACUGCACUCCAGCCUGGGUGACAGAGUGAGAUUCUGUCUCAAAAAAGAAAAAAGAAAAGAAAAAUGAGAUGUCUCUUGACCUCAUCACACAGCCUUUCCCCGAAGCUUGUUCAGCGCCGUCCCCACUGUGGCUUGAGCUCACUUCCCAGGAAAGAGGUUUCUGCAGACAAAGCUACUGCCACAGCCUGGAGAUGCUUGCUUUUGACUUGCUUGUCAUCAGCUCCGUGGGGCAUAUUUCUCCCCACCGACAUGGCCUUCCCCUGCUUUGCGGCUCGGGGAACUCCAUGCCAUCCUGAGACAGGACACCCGCCUCUGUCUACCAACCUCUUUACUGUUUGAAUUCUUACAUUUAACUGUCAAUCCACCUGCAGACUAUUUUUCUGGUGUAAAGAAGGAUCAAAAUUGAUUUUCUCCCUUCCCCCAAAUAGGCAACAAAUUGCCCUGACACUAUGUUGAGUAAUCUAUUCCCUCGGGCUGAUUUCUGGUGCUCCAUCUCCACCCAGGCUGGAGCAUCUCCUGCCUCUCCUCCUACCCCCUGCAACCUUACGUGGCUCCCCAGUACCCUGGAGAGAGUCCGCACUUCUUAAAGGGGCUGACUGGGCAUCAGUGAGGGUCCUUGCUGUCUCUCAGCUCUCAUUUUGCCAUUUGAGGCUGUGAUUCGCCUGGACUUCUUGCAUUUUUGCUGACAUGCUGUUUCCUCUGCCUGGGACGUGAACCCCUCCCAGCACCCCAAUGUUCCCCCACUCAGUGGGCUUCUCUGUUCAGCCCCCAGAUUGGGGCUGGAACCUCCCCUCUGUAACCGGGGCUGCCUGUGCUUGCUCCGCUGUGACCCCACGCUGCCAGGCUCUGAUUCCCAUCUAUCUCCACCUAGAGUCCACCUUCUGCACCGAAAGCUCGGGGCAGGUAGGGCUGGAGCUGGGGUUUCCUUUCCAGGCACUGAGUAGGCAGUGCAUGCUGAAUGAAUUCAGGGAAAUAUUAACUCCAUAGCUGCCUAUAACGGAAGGCAACCAGGCCAGGCACCUGGCUCAUGCUUAUAAUCCCAGCACUUUGGGAGGCCGAGGCGGACAGAUCACCUGAGCUCAGGAGUUCCAGACCAGCCUGGCCAACAUGGCAAAACCCCGUCUCUACUAAAAAUACAAAAAUUAGCCAGGCGUGGUGGUGGGGGCCUGUAAUCCCAGCUACUCAGGAGGCUGAGACAGGAGAAUCGUUUGAUUCUCCUGCGGAGAUUGCAGUGAGCUGAGAUCGCACCACUGCACCCCAGCCUGGGCGACAGAGCGAGACUCCGUCUCAAAAAAUAUAUAAAUAAAUAAAGGAAGGCAAUCCGAAAUCGGCAUAUGUCACGGUUUUCCUGGGAUGGGCCCUGUGCAUGUCUGUUUCCCCGUAUAAUGGUGAAUACAUCCUCUUGUCACUCUAAAAGUAUCCCAUUUGGGGCAAUAAAUUGUCAUAUGGUCACCCUCUCAUGAGGCCUCUGUGUGGGACCAUUUCUCCUAUUUCUAUUGAUAACACCUCCCCUCUCUUCUUUUACCAAUUUCAGCACAAUAUCAAUCACCAUAACUCUAUAAAAAGCUUCCAUACCUGGCAGGAAAGACAUCCUUCAUCAUUCUCCCUUUUCUGCGUUUCUUUAGUCUUGCCAUUUGAAUAUUCAUUCAGAUGAACUUUUAGAAUGAUUUUAUCUCGCUUUGUAAAACUCGCUGCGAGCCUGUUGAUGGAUGGUGGUAAACCUGUGAAUUAAUUCUGGAAAGACUUUCGGGUAAUAUUCCAACACGGCACAUCUCACCACUCUUGUUUUCUUUGAUAUCUCUCAGGAUAACUUUAGAGAGUUUUUCAUAAUGAUCCUAAAUUUCUCUUGUCGAUUCAUUCCUGGGAAUUGGGAGGGUUUUGUUGUUUUAUUGGUGCCGUUGUAAGUGGGGACCGUUUAUUUAAUUAUGUGUCUCGACUAGCUGUUGUUAGUUCAGAGAAAAGUUAUUGAUUUGUAUAUGUUGGUUUGAUUUCCAGCCCAGCACCUUCGUAUUAAAUUUUUAUAUUAAGUCAUUUUUUUUCUCAGUUGCUUCUCUUGGGUUUCUAAGAUCUUGAAUCAUUUUGUCAGCAAAUAAUUACAAUUCUUCCCUGUAGACAUCCCAUUUAAUUCUGUUUCAUGUCUUAUUGCUAUGUCCAGAAUUUCUGGACAAUGAUGAAAGCAUUGCUGUUUUUUAAUAUAAGUUUCUGAAUGGGAAUCAUUAAAAAAUCUCAUCACCUAGAAUGAUUCUGGCUGUUGAACUGAGACAGAUUCUUGACUUCGAUAAAGACGUGUGUUUCUGGUUCUAUUUCUAGCAGUUACUUUAAAAUCCGAAAUUGGCACUGGAUUUUAUCAAAUGCCUUUCGUCAUUAUGAAUGUGCAUUCCAGCUGACCUGUGGACACUGUGUAGUUUAUUAAUAGAUUUAUCUAAUAUUAAGCCAACU